rnacentral:rRNA from 1 species
UCGCCGAAAGAUCGGCCCGCGUCGGAUUAGCUAGUUGGUAGGGUAAUGGCCUACCAAGGCGACGAUCCGUAGCUGGUCUGAGAGGAUGACCAGCCACACUGGGACUGAGACACGGCCCAG